rnacentral:rRNA from 1 species
CUAUUAUUAUAAACGUAAAAUUAAACUAGAUUAGUAGUAGUUAUGUUCUUGAAAAUUAAAAAUUUUGGCGGUUUUUUAGUCUAUUCAGAGGAACCUGUUCUAUAAAUGAUAGUCCACGAUUUAAAUGUCCUUUAUUAUUAGUUUGUAUAUCGUCGUAGUUUGAAUAUUUUAAAAGAAUUUUAAUAUUCAAAAUUUAUUUAAAUAAAAAAUAUCAGAUCAAGGUAUAGUUUAUAUAAAGGUAGUAAUGGGUUACAUUAAUUUUAAUUUUGGAUUAUUAAUUUAAAAUUAAUAUAAAAAAGGAUUUGAUAGUAAUUUUUAAAAAUUUUUAAAAUGAUUUUAGCUCUAAAAAAUGCACAUAUC